AUGGAGUUCACCUGCGCCGAGCUACCCAGCGACCUACGCGUUUAUUUUCAAAUCCUCGCGGAGGAUUACCGACGGGCGAUUAACCCGGAGAACCAGCGCAGCGCCAUGGAGGUGGCGAUAUUGACGCUGGAGGACGAUGACAGCGCGUUAGAGCGCCCCAGUGUUCGUCGCCUCUAUGAGCGGCUGUGCGCGAGGUUAGAUGAGCUAAGUCGCGCCAGCUGCAGUCCGCGCGCACCUCCAGGAGGAGGUCGCGCCAGCUGCAGUCCCCGCGCACCUCCAGGAGGAGGUCGCGCCAGCUGCAGUCCCCGCGCACCUCCAGGAGGAGGUCGCGUCCGCCGCAGUCCGCGCGCACCUCCAGGAGGAGGUCGCGCCAGCUGCAGUCCCCGCGCACCUCCAGGAGGAGGUCGCGUCCGCCGCAGUCCCGGCGCACCUCCAGGAGGAGGUCGCGUCCGCCGCAGUCCCGGCGCACCUCCAGGAGGAGGUCGCGUCCGCCGCAGUCCCGGCGCACCUCCAGGAGGGGGUCGCGCCCGUCGCAGUCCCGGCGGACCUCCAGGAGGGGGUCGCGCCCGUCGCAGUCCCGGCGGACCUCCAGGAGGGGGUCGCGCCCGUCGCAGUCCCGGCGGACCUCCAGGAGGGGGUCGCGCCCGUCGCAGUCCCGGCGGACCUCCAGGAGGGGGUCGCGCCCGUCGCAGUCCCGGCGGACCUCCAGGAGGGGGUCGCGCCCGUCGCAGUCCCGGCGGACCUCCAGGAGGGGGUCGCGCCCGUCAUAGUUCCUGCCCACCUCCAGGAGGGUGUCGUUCCUGUCAUAGUUCCUGCCCACCUCCAGGAGGGUGUCGUUCCUGUCGCAGCCCCGAUGCACCUGCAUCGGUUCCUGGCGGCUCGGCUCCGGCCGCACCUGCAUCGGUUCCUGGCGGCCCGGCUCCGGCCGCACCUGCAUCGGUUCCUGGCGGCCCGGCUCCGGCCGCACCUGCAUCGGUUCCUGGCGGCUCGGCUCCGGCCGCACCUGCAUCGGUUCCUGGCGGCUCGGCUCCGGCCGCACCUGCAUCGGUUCCUGGCGGCCCGGCUCCGGCCGCCCCUGCAUCGGUUCCUGGCGGCUCGGCUCCGGCCGCACCUGCAUCGGUUCCUGGCGGCUCGGCUCCGGCCGCACCUGCAUCAGUUCCCGCCGGCCCGGCUCCGGCCUGGUCUCCACGUCCGUCGUCGCCUCUGGUUCCUGCAUCGUCUCUGGCUCUGCUGCCGGACUGGUGGCCUCGCCCUCGGCGCCGCCUGCUGCUUGGAUGGCGCUGCCUCCUGCGGCGCCGUCCGCCUCGACUCCUCAGCCUCCUGGAUCAGCGUCCGCCAGGAGGACAUCGCCGUUCGGGGGGGUCCCCGUGGACGCUGGCCCAGACCAAGGGCACUGGGUGUGCCCCUCUGCCUCAGCGGCGGCUGGGCAGGAUCUCACCGCGUCUCCACCCGCCUUAA
rnacentral:lncRNA from 1 species